UACGUAGGGUGCAAGCGUUAAUCGGAAUUACUGGGCGUAAAGCGUGCGCAGGCGGUUUUGUAAGUCUGAUGUGAAAUCCCCGGGCUCAACCUGGGAAUUGCAUUGGAGACUGCAAGGCUAGAAUCUGGCAGAGGGGGGUAGAAUUCCACGUGUAGCAGUGAAAUGCGUAGAUAUGUGGAGGAACACCGAUGGCGAAGGCAGCCCCCUGGGUCAAGAUUGACGCUCAUGCACGAAAGGCGUGGGGAGCAAACAGG
rnacentral:rRNA from 1 species